rnacentral:rRNA from 1 species
GCGCAGCUGAUGCAUUACGCCGCGUGAGUGAAGAAGGCCCUCUGGGUUGUAAAGCUCUUUCGGCUGGGAAGAAGGGUCUACGUGCUAAUAUCGCGUGGAUUUGACGGUACCAGAAGAAGAAGCACCGGCUAACUUCGUGCCAGCAGCCGCGGUAAUACGAAGGGUGCAAGCGUUGUUCGGAAUAACUGGGCGUAAAGGGCGCGUAGGCGGGUCGGUAAGUUAGAUGUGAAAUCCCCGGGCUUAACCUGGGAACUGCAUCUAAUACUGCCGAUCUUGAAUGUUCGAGAGGGUGGUGGAAUUCCCGGUGUAGAAGUGAAAUUCGUAGAUAUCGGGAGGAACAUCCGAGGCGAAGGCGGNCACCUGGCGAAACAUUGACGCUGAGGCGCGAAAGCGUGGGGAUCAAACAGGAUUAGAUACCCUGGUAGUCCACGCCGUAAACGAUGAAUGCUAGAUGUUCGGAGAGUUAACCCUCUGAGUAUCGCAGCUAACGCAUUAAGCAUUCCGCCUGGGAAGUACAGUCGCAAGGCUGAAACUCAAAGGAAUUGACGGGGGCCCGCACAAGCGGCGGAGUAUGUGGUUCAAUUCGAAAGCAACGCGCAGAACCUUACCUGGUCUUGACAUCCCGCGAAGACUGCGAGAUG